AGUAACGCGUAAAGAACUUGCCCUUUAGACUGGGAUAACAGAGGGAAACUUCUGAUAAUACUGGAUAAGUUAGUAUAUCGCAUGAUAUGCAAAUGAAAGCUACGGUACUAAAGGAGAGCUUUGCGUCCUAUUAGCUAGUUGGUAAGGUAAGAGCUUACCAAGGCGAUGAUAGGUAGCCGGCCUGAGAGGGUGGACGGCCACAAGGGGACUGAGAUACGGCCCUUACUCCUACGGGAGGCAGCAGGG
rnacentral:rRNA from 1 species